rnacentral:rRNA from 1 species
CGAACGCUGGCGGCGUGCUUAACACAUGCAAGUCGAACGAGAAGAGAUGAGAAGCUUGCUUCUUAUCAAUUCGAGUGGCAAACGGGUGAGUAACGCGUAAGCAACCUGCCCUUCAGAUGGGGACAACAGCUGGAAACGGCUGCUAAUACCGAAUACGUUCUUUUUGUCGCAUGGCAGAGGGAAGAAAGGGAGGCUCUUCGGAGCUUUCGCUGAAGGAGGGGCUUGCGUCUGAUUAGCUAGUUGGAGGGGUAACAGCCCACCAAGGCGACGAUCAGUAGCCGGUCUGAGAGGAUGAACGGCCACAUUGGGACUGAGACACGGCCCAGACUCCUACGGGAGGCAGCAGUGGGGAAUCUUCCGCAAUGGGCGAAAGCCUGACGGAGCAACGCCGCGUGAGUGAAGAAGGCCUUCGGGUCGUAAAGCUCUGUUGAAGGGGACGAAUGUCAAGACUAUCAACAACGGUUUUGAAUGACGGUACCUUUCGAGGAAGCCACGGCUAACUACGUG